rnacentral:rRNA from 1 species
UACGGAGGAUGCGAGCGUUAUCCGGAUUUAUUGGGUUUAAAGGGUGCGUUGGCGGAUCGUUAAGUCAGUGGUCAAAUUGAGGGGCUCAACCCCUUCCCGCCAUUGAAACUGGCGCUCUUGAGUGGAAGAGAAGUAUGCGGAAUGCGUGGUGUAGCGGUGAAAUGCAUAGAUAUCACGCAGAACCCCGAUUGCGAAGGCAGCAUGCCGGCUUCCGACUGACGCUGAAGCACGAAAGCGUGGGGAUCGAACAGG